GGGCCUAUAGCCAAGUUGGUAAGGCAUGGGACUGCAACUCCCCGAUCAUCGGUUCGAGUCCGGUUAGGCCCUCCA
rnacentral:tRNA from 1 species